GAUGAACGCUGGCGGCGUGCCUAAUACAUGCAAGUCGAGCGAACAGACGAGGAGCUUUCUCCUCUGACGUUAGCGGCGGACGGGUGAGUAACACGUGGAUAACCUACCUAUAAGACUGGGAUAACUUCGGGAAACCGGAGCUAAUACCGGAGAAUAUAUUGAACCGCAUGGUUCAAUAGUGAAAGACGGUUUUGCUGUCACUUAUAGAUGGAUCCGCGUCGCAUUAGCUAGUUGGUAAGGUAACGGCUUACCAAGGCAACGAUGCGUAGCCGACCUGAGAGGGUGAUCGGCCACACUGGAACUGAGACACGGUCCAGACUCCUACGGGAGGCAGCAGUAGGGAAUAUUCCGCAAUGGGCGAAAGCCUGACGGAGCAACGCCGCGUGAGUGAUGAAGGUCUUCGGAUCGUAAAACUCUGUUAUUAGGGAAGAACAAAUGUGUAAGUAACUAUGCACGUCUUGACGGUACCUAAUCAGAAAGCCACGGCUAACUACGUG
rnacentral:rRNA from 1 species